rnacentral:rRNA from 1 species
UACGUAGGGGGGCAAGCGUUGUCCGGAAUCAUUGGGCGUAAAGAGCGCGUAGGCGGUCCGGUAAGUCAGCUGUGAAAGUCAGGGGCUCAACCCUUGAAAGCCGGUUGAUACUGUCGGGCUAGAGUCCGGAAGAGGCGAGUGGAAUUCCCGGUGUAGCGGUGAAAUGCGCAGAUAUCGGGAGGAACACCAAUGGCGAAGGCAGCUCGCUGGGACGGUACUGACGCUGAGGCGCGAAAGCGUGGGGAGCAAACGGG